GACAGAGGGUGCAAACGUUGUUCGGAAUUACUGGGCGUAAAGCGCGUGUAGGCGGCUCUGCAAGUCGGGUGUGAAAUCCCAUGGCUCAACCAUGGAAGUGCACUCGAAACUGCAGGGCUAGAGUCCUGGAGAGGAAGGUGGAAUGCUUGGUGUAGAGGUGAAAUUCGUAGAUAUCAAGCGGAACACCGGUGGCGAAGGCGGGUCUCUGGAACGCAACUGACGCUGAGACGCGAAAGCGUGGGGAGCAAACAGG
rnacentral:rRNA from 1 species